ACAUAAGCAUAGGAAAUGAGGGACAACAGAGUAGACUGCCUGGCCUCAGACCACCAGCUUUCACACUGAAGGCCUCAGAGCUAGUGUGCUUGAGAAUUCCACCAGAACAUACCAAAGUGCAUGCAAACAAAAUCGGAAUACUUCCUCAAGGCAAGGGGGUUUUGGCUCUUUCUCUCCAGUGUGUGAUAUUGAUGCUGUCCCAUUGCCUUCUAUUGUAACCAAGAAGACAAGAGAAGCAUGAAAGGGAAAAACAUAGUCCACUGUUUUCUGGGAAAGAAGAACAGUGAGACCCUCUUGCCUCCACUUGUCAGCCUGGGGAAGUGGAAGCUGUGUUUCCUGGAGACCUACCUGGGUGAAAAAUGCUAAAUGGGCAUCACAGAAGAGCUGCUUUAGAAGUGAAGUUUUGAUUUGAACCACUCAUUUAGUGGUUGUUAAUUAAAUCAAUUUGGUAAUCUGGGUUUUACUUUUUAAAAUGAUUCAUUCAUGAUUCCAAUAUCAUAGUAAAGAGGUAGGAAGGAAAAUGUUCAGAGUAGUAGAAUUAAGGUAGAAGAGUCUAAGAUAAUAAACAACUUCUGUCACUGAUCAUAAAUGGUUAUAAGGGGCUGGAGUUGUAGCUCAGUGGAAAAGCGCUUGCCUAGCAUGUGUGAG